AAUCAACGCUGGCGGCGUGCCUCAGACAUGCAAGUCGAACGCGAAAGGCCCCUUCGGGGGCCGAGUAGAGUGGCGUCCGGGUGAGUAACACGUGGGUAAUCUACCUUCGGGUGGGGAAUAACGACCGGAAACGGUCGCUAAUACCGCAUAAUGCAGCGGCACCUAAUGGUGACAGUUGUUAAAGCGGGGGAUCGCAAGACCUCGCGCCUGAAGAGGAGCCCGCGGCGGAUUAGCUAGNGGCAGGGUAACGGCCUACCAAGGCGACGAUCCGUAGCCGGCCUGAGAGGGCGGUCGGCCACACUGGCACUGACACACGGGCCAGACUCCUACGGGAGGCAGCAGUCGGGAAUUUUGGGCAAUGGGCGAAAGCCUGACCCAGCAACGCCGCGUGAAGGAUGAAGCUUUUCGGAGUGUAAACUUCAUAAGAAUGGGACGAAUAAGGGAGGGUUAACACCCCCUUUGAUGACGUACCAUUUGUAAGCUCCGGCUAACUCCGUGCCAGCAGCCGCGGUAAG
rnacentral:rRNA from 1 species